GACGGAGGAUGCAAGUGUUAUCCGGAAUCACUGGGCGUAAAGCGUCUGUAGGUGGUUUAAAAAGUCUACUGUUAAAGCUUGAAGCUUAACUUCAAAAAUGCCGUAGAAACUUUUAAACUUGAGUAUGGUAGGGGUAGAGGGAAUUCCAGUGGAGCGGUGAAAUGCGUAGAUCUUGGAAAGACCACCAAUGGCGAAGGCACUCUACUGGGCCAUACUGACAGCUAAGAGACGAAAGCUAGGGGAGCAAACUGGG
rnacentral:rRNA from 1 species